AAAUAAAAGAAGAGAAUGGUUUAGUGCUUGAUUUGGUGUUUUUGUUUCCAAGUUCAAACAAUAUUUCGUUUAUAAUAAACACUAGGAAUUCAAGAAGAAAUUAGAAGAAGAACAAAUAUUGUUGGAAGCCCUUCGACAAAGGAAGGAUGAAGCAUCGGGCAAAGCAAAGGAUCUUAAAGUAAAAUUUGACAAGCUGCGUGGGUCAGCAGAGGACAAAUUUACUACGAUUGGAAAGGCUGGGAAUCAAUGUAGGAAAAUUGAAAGUGAACUGGAGUCGGCUGAACAUGGAAAGGCUCACUAUGAAAAUCUCAUGGAAAACAAGGUCCUACCUGCUAUUAAGAAGGCCGAGGAAGAAUAUCAGGAGCUUACAAAAAUGCGUGA